GACCCUUCACCGCUGACACAGUGUUCUCAGAUGAGGACGUGGAAGCAGCUAUUGUUGUUUUGAGACACUCUGCAGAUGAAGACACUAUCUGUGAGAAGAUGAAAGCUACCUUUGUUUAUCGUCAGUCAAUGGUCAACGAUGAAAAGAAAGCAGAAGAUGUCUUCUCAGUCUUCCCGCGGUUUCUGGACACAAGCGGACUGAUAGAACAAGAUUUCAGACUCCUGUUUGGUGAGGCCACCGCCAACAAAUUCAUGGAGAGGUGGCCGACCAAUCUCAAGAGCCAAAGUUGUAAAGGAAAGCCAUGGACUGGUGCCCACCACAGAGCUCUUGGAGUUACUGUGCAAUGCUGAGUGUGAAGCUGAGAAUGGCUGGGACAGUGACAUGUCUGCUAUCUUACUGCUGCUACAUCUGCUACCACCAUCCACGCUAGGACGAAAGAGACCAGGAAAGAUGUCUGCAUCUCAAGCUGUCGACAGCCUCAUCAAAUUCAUAAAGGCGGGAACCAGUGUACAGCUGCACCUAGACAACGUCACCCAAAGCAGUCAGCCUUACCUUCUUGCUCAGCGACCCACAAGAAGCAGCAUUCAAGCCUUCUUCAUUGUGAUUGACAAGCAUGCACUUCCAAGUAAGGCGACAGGUUCAGUGGGAGCCCUUGACGAACUCUUUAAGGCCCAUUCUGUCUUUCGUACGUCAUACAGUUCUUCUCUGAACAACUUUUUCACUUUCCUGCAAACAACCAUUUACAACAUUGACGUUGGGGAAACAAAGGAAACUCCAAGAGUUGCAGAGUUGCGAGCAAGAAUGGUGCGUUAGUAUCCGUUAAGGUAGUUCAUGUUUUUUGUCCUGGCAGGUUGUGAUCCUAAAUGUGGCCAAGUAGGAUCCUAACGUUCUUUUGGUAGCUUUUCUGGCAUUGCCAGUAGUGUUCAAGUUCUGAAAGUGAACUGGGCUAAACACAAUGGGUUUGUUAACGCCCAUAUUUGGUUAUUUGUGGCAGAGUCUGAAAUGCCUUUGUUUUACCAGAUUGAGUCAGUUCUGAUAAUACAUGAGAAACUGUUGUUGCUCACUUUGCUGUUAUGCACAGUAACAUUUCAAGAACAUUUUCAUGUCUAUGAGUUGACAAGGACUAAGCAAGAUUUUGUUUUCUUUCAUGUCAACAAACUGCAAUAUCCAAGGCCUUUAGACAUACAAAUGUCAUGGAAUGAAUGACACAGCUCUUUGUGGUCCCAUAUUGCUUUCUCUUGAGCAUCAAAGCAUUGUAUUAAAUAUGUCAUGGUUUGUUAUUUAUAUGACAUAGAAUGAGAAACAUAAUAAAUGCUGUAACUGUA